AAGUCAAAACGUUAUCUGCCUCUCUGUCGCUCGAAUAUGCAAAAGCGAUAGAGAAGCAGAUAAAGAUUAACGAUUUUUCGAUGUUGGCGGUAGGCCUUCAGUCUAACUUUUCGAAACCGUGACAUUACAGAAGCAGCAAUGGACAUGUUCGCAUGCUAACGCUCGCGGGUCCCCGUAGGUGUGGCGGCGCACAGGUCGCGCGUGCGCCCCGGCUCGUGACUGCGCGCGCGCGCCCGUCACGCCGCGCCCGCGCGCACUAUUUUAUCGCAUUAAUUAUUUGGAAAAGGAUUCCCGGGGCUGGCAUUCUUGCGGCCAUGUCAGUUGUGGGAACGUCGUGGGUGAGGGUGAGCGACUAUGCGGCAGCUGAAGUAGCCACAUGCCUCCGUCUUUACCACCGUCUUCAACACCAAAGCUUGAUAUUAAUCGUUAAUUUCAAGUCGAAAACUUUAACUGAAUGCAACACCGAAAUCGAUUAGCGUCGACCGUCGGCGAGGGGGGUGUGGGGUUAGACGUGGGGGUUGAACUGCACCGAACCGCCGACGUCAUCGCCCUGUCAACUGAACAAUACUAAGCAGACGACGUUACGUACACCGUACCCCGAUACGAAACGUGUAAAAUAAAAGUCAAUGCACUGUUAUACCUAUAUACGGAAAAUAUCAUACUUGAGCUGGCUCGCGGCGGAUUAGCUGUCAUGUUCGAUACACGAAAUGUAUUUGUCGUUUGACCAGCUUCAAAUGUACCGAUUAUCUAGAUACCAGCACAAUACUAAUGGUAAUACACAAUACGAUCUUUUAUGCAUUGUAACAUACCAAUUAUAAAAUAAUUUAAUACAGUUUAUAUCGGUGAUAUAACAAACCAUUAAUAUGCAACUACAUAAUUAUUUCUACGAACACGUCGUACCUUGGAUGAUUUGGCAACUGGAGUCACCUUCAAGAGCUUACCCCUCUGUCGAAAACCUCCGCCAAUGGUCAUAUGUAUUGUAUGGACUGAAGUUUAUCUGACAUGGGUAUUUGUAUGUUAUAUACGUUACGUAG